AAGGUUGAAGCACGGCGCAUUUUCAUUUUUGAAGUUAACUGCUGGAACAGUGAGAUCUAGUCUUCGCUCUAGUACUUUGAGGAAAUUAUUGUUUCUAGUUUGUCGAACUUCUCAUAUUUAACUUUCUAAAUCUCUGUCCCAAUUCUGUUUUAGCCUAAAUGGAUGGCACCAGCAGUGUUGUGUAACGAACCAUCAAAUGAGAAGUUUGGCCCCAAUUGAAAACCAGGGGACAACAAAUAGACAAAUAUGGAAAGACUGUAUGGCUAAUUGUGAGCAAAAGGGAUUGAACUUGAGUUGUUUGGUUUUAAGUUGUGUAAAUAAUAGUGAUGGCACUUGAGUUACCGAAGGAUGCAUGAAUGUCAUGAACUAGAUUCCAUUUCCUUGAA